GUCUGAAUAUGGGGGGACCAUCCUCCAAGGCUAAAUACUCCUGACUGACCGAUAGUGAACCAGUACCGUGAGGGAAAGGCGAAAAGAACCCCGGCGAGGGGAGUGAAAAAGAACCUGAAACCGUGUACGUACAAGCAGUGGGAGCACCCUUUGGGGUGUGACUGCGUACCUUUUGUAUAAUGGGUCAGCGACUUAUAUUCUGUAGCAAGGUUAACCGUAUAGGGGAGCCGGAGGGAAACCGAGUCUUAACCGGGCGUUAAGUUGCAGGGUAUAGACCCGAAACCCGGUGAUCUAGCCAUGGGCAGGUUGAAGGUUGGGUAACACUAACUGGAGGACCGAACCGACUAAUGUUGAAAAAUUAGCGGAUGACCUGUGGCUGGGGGUGAAAGGCCAAUCAAACCGGGAGAUAGCUGGUUCUCCCCGAAAGCUAUUUAGGUAGCGCCUCGUGAAUUCAUCUCCGGGGGUAGAGCACUGUUUCGGCUAGGGGGCCAUCCCGGCUUACCAACCCGAUGCAAACUGCGAAUACCGGAGAAUGUUAUCACGGGAGACACACGGCGGGUGCUAACGUCCGUCGUGAAGAGGGAAACAACCCAGACCGCCAGCUAAGGUCCCAAAGUCAUGGUUAAGUGGGAAACGAUGUGGGAAGGCCCAGACAGCCAGGAUGUUGGCUUAGAAGCAGCCAUCAUUUAAAGAAAGCGUAAUAGCUCACUGGUCGAGUCGGCCUGCGCGGAAGAUGUAACGGGGCUAAACCAUGCACCGAAGCUGCGGCAGCGA
rnacentral:rRNA from 1 species